CGCGCGAGGCGGAGGAACGGGUGCGCAGUGCCCUCUAACGAGCGGGCCACGCACGCAGCCGGACCGCGUCCCGGGUCACGCGGGACGCGAGCCUUGUGGGAAAUGUAGUCUCCUCACGACGUCACCCGCGGAGACUGGGCUUCUGCGCAUGCGUCGCCUUCCUCCAACUGAGUUACAGGAAAGUGGCGCUCUGCCCGCUGUUUCGCGAGCUCUGGGUCGUACUCUGCCCGGAGGUUGGAAACGGGUGAAAGGAGGCGACCUGGGGCAAGGCGGGUAGGAGCAGACAUCGCGGAGGCAGGCGCGCAGUGCCUGGCACUUGGUCGGCGCGGAGGGCGUGCGGGAGCGGCGCUUUCCCGGGAGCGGCGCGCGGCCGCAGGGCCUGAUGGGUGCCUCCGUUGCGGCCGUUUCCAGCUGAUGCUUGGUGAGCUUACAGAGGGAGCCAGGACCGAGCCCCACGCAGUUGUGACUGCUGCACUCGCCUUUCCCCUCUGUGUUCCCACAAGCACAAAACACGGACCAAACGUGGAACAUCCUGCAGAUGCCUGAGAUGGAGUGACCCUCUCUGUUGUCCAUGGUGCAGCAGGCAGCAGGUGCAGAUGACCCUGUGGGUGCAGAUGACCCUGUGGUCCAUAACCCUCAGGCCACUCUCCAGUUGCCACCAACAUUUAGCUCACUGUCCUUGAGGUCCUCAGCAGCCUUGAUGCUCCUCCAGCCAUAAAGUCAAGGUGAAGAUACCAAGGGAUUUGCCCACUCCUCCUGGUGGUACCUGCUGUGUCAACGCACAGGGUGGAGGGGACAGAGCUUGCCCGGGAGCCACUUGGUAAGGGCAUGCAGCUCACUCCUGAGCUCUCCACUCUCACACCCUGUCCCCUUCCCAUAGCCCCACUUACUCCAGCGCACUGGGGUUGGGCUCAAACAUAGGGGUUUGGGAAGACUCAAAGCAUUCGGACCAUAGGAGCAGUG
rnacentral:lncRNA from 1 species